GAAAGCCGUGUGCAGUGAAAAAUGCAAGCACGUUUUUGGGAGGGAUUUUUUACCUGGUUUUUUUAACAAGUAAAUUAUUGACUCCAU
rnacentral:ncRNA from 1 species